rnacentral:rRNA from 1 species
CAGUCGCCGCGGUAAUACGAAGGGUGCAAGCGUUACUCGGAAUUACUGGGCGUAAAGCGUGCGUAGGUGGUGGUUUAAGUCCGUUGUGAAAGCCCUGGGCUCAACCUGGGAAUUGCAGUGGAUACUGGAUCACUAGAGUGUGGUAACGGAUAGUGGAAUUUCCGGUGUAGCAGUGAAAUGCGUAGAGAUCGGAAGGAACAUCUGUGGCGAAGGCGACUAUCUGGGCCAACACUGACACUGAGGCACGAAAGCAUGGGGAGCAAACAGGAUUAGAUACCCCCGUAGUCCCUGUCUCUUAUAC